rnacentral:rRNA from 1 species
AGUGGCGCACGGGUGAGUAACACGUAAGUAAUCUACCCUCGAGUGGGGAAUAACGUUCGGAAACGGACGCUAAUACCGCAUAACGCAGCGGCACCGCAAGGUGACAGUUGUUAAAGGAGCAAUCCGCUUGAGGAGGAGCUUGCGGCAGACUAGCUAGUUGGUAGGGUAAUGGCUUACCAAGGCUACGAUCUGUAUCCGGUCUAAGAGGACGGUCGGACACACUGACACUGAAUAACGGGUCAGACUCCUACGGGAGGCAGCAGUCGGGAAUUUUGGGCAAUGGGCGAAAGCCUGACCCAGCAACGCCGCGUGAAGGAUGAAGUAUUUCGGUAUGUAAACUUCGAAAGAAUAGGAAGAAUAAAUGACGGUACUAUUUAUAAGCUCCGGCUAACUACGUGCCAGCAGCCGCGGUAAUGCGUAGGGAGCAAGCGUUGUUCGGAUUUACUGGGCGUAAAGGGCGCGUAGGCGGCGCGGUAAGUCACUUGUGAAAUCUCUGAGCUUAACUCAGAACGGCCAAGUGAUACUGCAGUGCUAGAGUGCAGAAAGGGCAAUCGGAAUUCUUGGUGUAGCGGUGAAAUGCGUAGAUAUCAAGAGGAACACCUGAGGCGAAGGCGGGUUGCUAGGCUGACACUGACGCUGAGGCGCGAAAGCCAGGGGAGCAAACGGGAUUAGAUACCCCGGUAGUCCUGGCCCUAAACGAUGAAUACUUGGUGUCUGGAGUUUCAAUACUCCGGGUGCCGUCGCUAACGUUUUAAGUAUUCCGCCUGGGGAGUACGCUCGCAAG